CCAAACAGGUAAAGUAUAUGUGACAGUAUGUAAUGUCUAUAUGUAAGGUAUUAAUGAACAUUGUCUAAAUCUUUUUGUAUUCCAGGUUUGUGUGGCUGACUGUGGACCCACAACAAGGUGCUCCUUGGAGGUGGUAAAAGUAAAACUGACUUACAUUCAGCAGCUAAUGAGCAGUGGCCAGAUUGUCACAACAUCGAGUAGAAAUAGAAAACAUCACUACAGAGAGGAUGAGAACCAUAACUUGGUUUCCAGAUGACACAGCACAAUCAAGAUAGACAAGAAAAAUGAUCAAGACUACAGAAAAAGAUGAAUCUGCCCUAAAUAAGUGUAUCUACCCAACACGACUGGAUUUGUCUUCCCCAUAGACAUUAGCCCACUUACUGACCCACAUUGGGGCCUGAUGGGGUGAAAAUAAGAAAGAAAAGAAACGAUAAUUAUGUUGUAUUGUCAAAGUAAGAGAAACAAUUAAAACCCUGCAAUUUUAUGUAAAUGAGUCAGAAAGUCAGAUUCAACAAGCCGGGACUUGGUCUCAAUUUUUGUGGUGCCAUAUGGCAAGAAUGUAUACCAUUAGACAACACAUUGUGCUUUCAAUAUCUUUCCAGGCAGUAGUACUGUACUUCGCUGUUUGAUUGCUGCAUUAAAUAUGUCUAUCUACAUAAAUACUAAAAAAAAUUAACAGUAUAUUCAAAGUUUAUCUACUGACUACAGUAGACAUAGUGUAAGAGUGAGGGAAGAACAAGCAAUAUUGUGCUUGGCUAAGGAAGGACUUCCAGUGAUGUACAGAAAGAAAGACUUGUUGACCUAUUAGUGAGUGAGGGAAUGACUUGCUGACCAAUUAAUGAGGCAGAGGUGUAGUGCUAUAGGAAUGCAUGGGAAUGGCAUUCCUUUACUUUUUUGGUAGGCGAAACGACAUUCCUUCACUAUUUCAAAUAAAUGCAAACUUACAAAUCUCUAACGUCAUGAAAUUAUAAUUCCCACCCGUAGACGAAAUAUGAGAGAAUUAUUAACUGUUGCAUUUCUUUUAGCUUUAACUGAGGUAAUAAUAGCGGCAUUGCCUCAUUAUUUAAAUACAAAAAAGUCACUCCCAGCCUUCCUUCCAUGUCUUACUGGUCCUUCCCUCACUCUAAUGUGUAGGAGUGAGGGAAGGUCUCACUGUGAUGUGUAGGAGUGA